rnacentral:lncRNA from 1 species
ACCUGUAAAGGGUCCUGCUGGGCUCACCAUUGGUGUGCUGCAUGGUCGGCAGGCGUAUGGGGGCAGGAGGGCCCAGAACUAUGUGGUGUGGACAAGGCCAUCUUCUCAGGGAUCUCACAGCGCUGCUCCCACUGCACCAGGCUCGGUGCCUCCAUCCCUUGCCGCUCACCUGGAUGUCCACGGCUUUACCACUUCCCCUGCGCGACUGCCAGCGGUUCCUUCCUAUCCAUGAAAACACUGCAGCUGCUAUGCCCAGAGCACAGUGAGGGGGCUGCACAUCUGG